rnacentral:rRNA from 1 species
AACGAACGCUGGCGGCAGGCCUAACACAUGCAAGUCGAGCGGACCUUUCGGGGUCAGCGGCGGACGGGUGAGUAACGCGUGGGAAUAUGCCCUUCUCUACGGAAUAGUCCUGGGAAACUGGGGGUAAUACCGUAUACGCCCUUUGGGGGAAAGAUUUAUCGGGGAAGGAUUAGCCGGCGUUGGAUUAGGUAGUUGGUGGGGUAAUGGCCUACCAAGCCGACGAUCCAUAGCUGGUUUGAGAGGAUGAUCAGCCACACUGGGACUGAGACACGGCCCAGACUCCUACGGGAGGCAGCAGUGGGGAAUCUUAGACAAUGGGGGCAACCCUGAUCUAGCCAUGCCGCGUGAGUGAUGAAGGCCUUAGGGUUGUAAAGCUCUUUCAGCUGGGAAGAUAAUGACGGUACCAGCAGAAGAAGCCCCGGCUAACUCCGUG